rnacentral:tRNA from 1 species
AGUAAUAUGUCUGAUUAAAGUAAUAAAUUGUAAAUUUAUUUAAAGAUUAAAAUCUUGUUACUA